AGAAUACAUUCCAAGAUAUCAGGAAAUUUUCAGGGAAUGACAUUGAACUGGAACGAAAGUUACAAAUUUUGAAUUUCAUGAAAAGAUUUGGAAAAGUUUCUCUCUCUCUUUCAAUAGGCGGAUUUUUGGUCAUAGAUAAGAAAAUUCUUCUCAAGAUGGCAAGUACCCUACAUCAUAUUUUUUCUGGUUUCAUAAAACUAAGAACAGUUUCCAACGAG